rnacentral:tRNA from 1 species
GGGGGUGUAGCUCAGUUGGGAGAGCGCCUGCUUUGCAAGCAGGAGGUCACGAGUUCGAAUCUCGUCAUCUCCACCA